UCCCUGGUGGUCCAGUGGCUAAGACUCUACACUCCCAAUGCAGCGGCCCCGAAUUCUAUCCCUGGUCAGGGAA
rnacentral:tRNA from 1 species